rnacentral:rRNA from 1 species
GUCUAUGGCCAUGCCACCCUGAACAAGCCCGAUGUCUGAUCUCAGGAGCUAAGCAGCGUCAGGCCUGGUUAGUACUUGGAUGGGAGACCACCUAGGAAGACCAGGUGCUAUAGGCA